rnacentral:rRNA from 1 species
GAUGAACGCUGGCGGCGUGCCUAAUACAUGCAAGUCGAGCGAACAGAUGAGGAGCUUGCUCCUCUGACGUUAGCGGCGGACGGGUGAGUAACACGUGGAUAACCUACCUAUAAGACUGGGAUAACUUCGGGAAACCGGAGCUAAUACCGGAUAAUAUAUUGAACCGCAUGGUUCAAUAGUGAAAGACGGUUUUGCUGUCACUUAUAGAUGGAUCCGCGCCGCAUUAGCUAGUUGGUAAGGUAACGGCUUACCAAGGCAACGAUGCGUAGCCGACCUGAGAGGGUGAUCGGCCACACUGGAACUGAGACACGGUCCAGACUCCUACGGGAGGCAGCAGUAGGGAAUCUUCCGCAAUGGGCGAAAGCCUGACGGAGCAACGCCGCGUGAGUGAUGAAGGUCUUCGGAUCGUAAAACUCUGUUAUUAGGGAAGAACAAAUGUGUAAGUAACUAUGCACGUCUUGACGGUACCUAAUCAGAAAGCCACGGCUAACUAUGUG